rnacentral:rRNA from 1 species
AGAUGGCGACCGGCGCACGGGUGAGUAACACGUAUCCAACCUGCCGAUAACUCGGGGAUAGCCUUUCGAAAGAAAGAUUAAUACCCGAUGGUAUAAUCAGACCGCAUGGUUUGAUUAUUAAAGAAUUUCGGUUAUCGAUGGGGAUGCGUCCCAUUAGGCAGUUGGUGAGGUAACGGCUCACCAAACCUUCGAUGGAUAGGGGUUCUGAGAGGAAGGUCCCCCACAUUGGAACUGAGACACGGUCCAA